rnacentral:sRNA from 1 species
UGAAUUUUCACCAAAUAUUUAGUAAAAAGAGUAUGAUGAAAGAAAAGUUGUAUUUUUAAGUGUUUUUAUAUAGGAAUUUUAAAAUAUAGGAUAUUGAAACAUUCAGUUAGUAUGCUUCUUUAAUUUUUUUUCUCCCUGAAAUUAUAGGAACCAGAUGUUAAAAAAUUAGAAGACCAACUUCAAGGCGGUCAAUUAGAAGAGGUGAUUCUUCAGGCUGAACAUGAACUAAAUCUGGCAAGAAAAAUGAGGGAAUGGAAACUAUGGGAGCCAUUAGUGGAAGAGCCUCCUGCCGAUCAGUGGAAAUGGCCAAUAUAAUUAUUAAGUGACUUUGGUGUGUUCAUGGGAAACUGAUGUAAUUAAAUAUUCUGUUAUAUUAAGAGCGUGUUCUCAUUACUGAUAUUUUGUAAUCAAGAAAAGUGAUAUAGAAAAUAUGUAGGAGACUGUUAAAAUUGGUGAUUAUGGUAAUAUGGUCAUGUGAAUCCAUUUUUGAUUUAUAAAGUACUCACACAAGUUGUUUCAAAGAUGAUAUUUCUGUGAACAGAGAGGCCAUGGGAAGAUUUGAAAAUUAUUAAAGAAAAAUUCCUACAGAUCUUCAAU